CGUUAUGGUUCUAUUUUGUUGGUUUCUAGGACCAUCGUAAUGAUUAAUAGGGACGGACGGGGGUAUCAGUAUUCAGUUGUCAGAGGUGAAAUUCUUGGAUUUACUGAAGACUAACUACUGCGAAAGCAUUGACCAAGCACGUUUUCAUUAAUCAAGAACGAAAGUUAGGGGAUCGAAGAUGAUCAGAUACCGUCGUAGUCUUAACCAUAAACUAUGCCGACUAGGGAUCGGGUGUUGUUCUUUUAUUGACGCACUCGGCACCUUACGAGAAAUCAAAGUCUUUGGGUUCUGGGGGGGAGUAUGGUCGCAAGGCUGAAACUUAAAGGAAUUGACGGAAGGGCACCACCAGGAGUGGAGCCUGCGGCUUAAUUUGACUCAACACGGGGAAACUCACCAGGUCCAGACACAAUAAGGAUUGACAGAUUGAGAGCUCUUUCUUGAUUUUGUGGGUGGUGGUGCAUGGCCGUUCUUAGUUGGUGGAGUGAUUUGUCUGCUUAAUUGCGAUAACGAACGAGACCUUAACCUACUAAAUAGUGCUGCUAGCUUUUGCUGGUAUAGUCACUUCUUAGAGGGACUAUCGAUUUCAAGUCGAUGGAAGUUUGAGGCAAUAACAGGUCUGUGAUGCCCUUAGACGUUCUGGGCCGCACGCGCGCUACACUGACGGAGCCAGCGAGUUUAUACCUUGGCCGAGAGGUCUGGGA
rnacentral:rRNA from 1 species